AUAAUCAUUGCUAGUUUGCGCCACUAGUCUCGCUUGGUGCUGGCCAUAGAUGCUACUAGCGAAGUGCACAGUCUUCCUGAUACUAUCCAUAUCUAUGGUGCGAUAAAGUUAUUUUCUUACGUUUGCAAAGGUAAACAAUGAACGUUUUUCAAAAUAAAAGCAUUAAAAUGUAUUUUAUCAGGAGGAAUAUAACAAAAAAAUUUGUGAAUUUAGGACUUUUCCGCUUCGUAAAAACGUAUGAAACGGGAAAUUAUUUAUUUUAUAAGUGUAUGUUCCGGGAAAGUAAACCAUUGUAAAUAUAGUACUUUCAGCGGGACCAAAAUUAAUCGGCGUAUGACACGGGAAAAUGUAUGAAACGGGAACGUAUCAUCGAGGUUCUACUGUAUAUAGUAGUGGUGCACCGAUGCGGAUACCGAUGAAUCGUAAUCGGCGAUUAUGGGAACUUACCGAUUAAUCGUAAUCGGCGAUUAUCUUAACGAUUACUUUGCCGAUUAUUUACGUCCCGGCGUAAUUACGUAGGUUUUUACCGUGUAAUAUUUUGUUACACAUUUUAGGACGAAAUACGGUAAUAUUUGUAUAUAUUACAAAAUUCAUCUAACUGCGUCAUAUCAUAAUUACAGAUAUUUCGUUAAAUCUCAUUGCCUCAAACAAUAAAAAAUGCAUUUUUCUUACACGUUUAUUUACGUUUCGUCUUUUGUUUAGUGGCCUUGUACAUUACGUAUAGCCAGAGAAGUAAAAUAGAUGGCACGCAAUCAAAAUACCACAAACAGUUGCAGUGGAUUCUAUGACAAUCGAUCUUUUCCAGUCGUAGUAGCGUUUCAAAAUCGUGGUCCCGAUACCUUCUAGUUUUUAUCACUGCGUUUUACAAACUCAUUAUGGGCUUCUUUGGUAAAAUUAUCCGUUUGUUAUUUGUAUGUGACGUGAAAAGUGAAAAAGUAUUUAUAAUUUUAUAUAUUCAGUCAACAUAAAUAAAAUCACAUGUGCUAGAAUUGGUUUUUAGUCAUUUUUAUAUAAUUAUAGUGAGAUGGCGAGUAGGGAGAAAAAAAGUGAAGUGUUGAAACAUUUUUCUAUAAACUCAAGUGAACAAAAUAAAGCAGCAUGUUUACAUUGUUAAAUGGUAAUUUCUUGAUGCAACCUUAUGUGAUAGUCGAUAAUAAUGCUAGUUUUCCGCAACAAAAUCUUACCCAUUGUAAAUUACAAUUAUUAGACUGUAGUUCAAGUUGUUUACAAUAACAAAUAUUUAAAAAAGAAUUUAAUUUAAUUUCCCCUUUCAAUGACUUAAUAGUGUAUUUUAUAUAUUUUUAUACUGUUAUUAUAACUGUAGUCUCAAUUUUACCUAAUCUUGUUAUUAAAUUCACAUGGGAAUAAAAAAUUUUGUGUGCAUUAUUACACUUAAAAAAAUUUCUUCAUUAUAAUCGGUAACUGAAUCGGUAUCUGCCGAUUAUUGCUCUCAUAAUCAGUAAUCGAAUCGGUAAUCGGUAAAGUCAUAUCGGUGCACCACUAAUAUAUAGUAUAUUUCACUGUGUCUAAUGCAACUAUAAACAGGUGUGAAGAUCGACAAAGAAGUGAAACAUUACGAAGCAUCAAAAUUGAAAGCACAAAGCAACAACCAUCAUAUUCGCGGAAAGGUGACACCGCUUACCAAGAUGCCCACGUGACAGUCGCUGAUGGAGCACGCCUCGAGACAGACGGUGGCGCCGGCUCUGGCGGAGAUGGCCGUGCCGAAGGAGACGAACUCGCACAGCGAGGCCCGCAGGCAGCCCCCCUCCAGCACCACGACUCCCUCCCCGCUGCCGUCGGGGCCCGCGCCCACCACGCGGCAGUCGCGCAGCCGGAGAGAGCCGGCGCUCACGGCCAGCGCCAUCUGCACCGCGCCCGCGUCCAGGGUGAGGCCUUCCAGGGACACCUCCCGGGACAACGCCCGCAGCAGGCAGCUGCUGCUGCUCAGCGACGCGAGAGUGGUCGCCCCGCGCCCGCCCAGGCCUGGAACAUCACCCACGUCUCCGAACAAACAUCCCCCACUACGGCCGAGUGCUGUUACUGCAUUCCCCACACGCUGUCUGAGGAAUGUGGACCACACACAUCAUCGCCACAGUGCACUUUCAGAAUGUUUCUUUCUUCGAGAAGUACUUGUGCUAAUGUCCAGUGUCAACUUGCGCUCUCUACCACAUCCAUGGACAAAGAAAUGGCGGCAUUAGACGUGAAACUUCAAAAAAAUACAUGGUACUCAACACCAUGUCUACUAAAUGUGCAGCUGGGAAAAGGCUUGAGUGUGUUUGUCAUAGUGUUUCCAGCAGGUUGUGUUUAUGAGGAUCAGCUGUGUUGUAAAGACGUUUCGUCUCAAAAACACACUAACACUACUGUAAACGUCUAUACAAAUUUUUAGAAUUUUAACGAAUAAUUGUAAUUUUUAAACACUCUGUUGUUUCCAGCGUAACGAAAACUGCAGCACUGUAGCGUCGUUUCACAAACUCUUGCCCAAGAGUAAGAUUGGCAAGCUCUACGUACCCACUCCCCCCAUCGAUCACCCCACUCCUAAGCAAUGCACUUUUUGUUAUGCUCGCAUUAGCCUGAACUCACACUACCAGCUAUUUCACUUCAAAAGAAUCAGCCACCGGGACUGAGUUAUGUCAAUACAUUUGAGGCACACUUGGACAUAAAAAAUGGGAAUGAAUGAAUCGAGAGGUAUCGUUGUAUCGAGAAACAACAUCAUUAUUCAAUUUAUGGAGUAGUUCACAACUGGCUACAGUUAUAAGAUAAGUAUUUUAAAGAGUGUGUGUACUCCAUUUUGAUAAAAUACUCAAGUAAAUGAACAAUAACAUUUCGUUACCUUACCUGGGAAUUCAAAACAGAACACCACCUGUACAACUACGUAUUUACUCGCAUAUAGGUCGCCAUCGCAUAUAGGUCACACCCAUAAUUUGAGGUCUUGAAUUUGGUAUUUAAGAUUCCCCCCAUAUAGGUAGCACUGGUAAUUUAAUGACGCAAACGGCCGGCGCACCGUGUACAAGAGAGUUAACGGGUACUGUAAAACAUGCUACUACGAGAGCUGAUAAUGGCGUGAUAAAUUGUUGUAACAACAAGUACUCGUAAUAACCGAAUAUAGAAAAUUGAAGUCAAGUUAGAUACCUGACUUCUUAAAAUGUCUUAAUUGUAGACUAUAACUCGAAAACAGUGCUUUGUAUUGAAAAAAUGCACAGAAUAAAAGUUGUAGUAAAUUUAAUAACGAAUAAAAAAGGCCUGUUAUGAUUUUUUAUAUCUACAGCGGUUUUCGUUUUAAACGUGCGAUACAGAUAACACACAGAUAAGAUAGUGGCUGGGGAAACCAUUGCUUCUCCCCUUCCCUUUUUCUACUUGUUUUCCAUCCAAGUGCGACAUCGCCCUUUGUUUACCAUUUUUUUUUGUGUUUACUGCAUGAACAUUUUCAACAGUUAUUUUUCCCCUUCUUCGAAGAUGCCAUUUAAAUCUUUCAUUACCUUUGUUGCCUUUAAUUUUUUUUGUGUGUUUAUUUCUUGUUAUGAAAAUUCGCUUGGUUAAUUAACUACAUGUACAUUGUAAAUAAAUUGGCCUAUACCUUUAUAAACUUCUUUUUCGCAUUUUAAAGCAAAAUACGUAUUGCAAAAAAAAUUCCUCAAAAUUUUUUCUUCACAUAUAGAUCGCACUUCAUUCACCCCCCCCCCCCCCCCCCUUCCCAAAUCUGGUAAAAUUGCUGCGACCUAUAUGCGAGUAAAUACGGUAAUUUAAAGUAUAAACUUAUGAAUACUUAUGCUUAUGUAAUUUUUUAACAUUAAUUAUAUAUAUUAGUUCUACAUGCAAAUAUCCUUAAGAAGACUAUUACUUUGCUACCAUCCACAUACAACCUCAUUACGAAGUACAUCACUUCAAAAGAGUUCUCACUUUUAGUAUUUAUUUUUAAGUACACCUGCCCCUCGAAGUAAUGCCCUAAUAUGUUCCAGGAAAACAAAGCACUAAUAAAAAUAAUUUGUUUUCUAAUUAGGUUGACAAAAAUUUUACUCGAGACACUACUCCUGUUAAAAUCAAUUAACAGUACCCAUAUACAUCUAAAUACAUUUGAACAACAUUUAAACAAAUGUUGAGUAACAUUUUGAGAUUAAAAAAAUUUAAAACUAAAUCAAAAAAUUCAGACCGCAAUGUUUACAUAAUAGGUUGGACAUAACAUUCCUAAGAACUAUCAACAUUUUUGAGUUACAUAAUUAUGUAGAUGUAUUUCAAUUCUAACAAGUUUUAAAAAAUUAUAAACUAAACAGUAUAAAUAUAAUUUAACCUGUUAACAUAAAUUGCGACACUGUUGUUUACUAAAUAUGGGUCUGCCAUGAUUUGCAGCUAGCGCAUCCCAGUAAGCGCAAGGUAAACUAGCCCUGAAAGCUUCUGGCAUCUCUCUCCAGAGCUGCUGCUGACAUACAGGAUGGCAUAAUAUGAACGUAGGCUAAAAACUCUGGUCGUCAUCGGAGAUGAACCAGCAAUGAAGGAAGCAAGUAGCUAUUAAGGAAAGAGCAAAAUAUUGUUUGUCGAUUCGUCACAUUACAGUAGAACCCUGUUAUAAUGAAUCUGAAGGGAGUAGUUUAUAUGUUCACUAUAGAGGGGAAACUUUAUAUCUGGGAAAACUUUUAUAUUGGCAAUACAUACGCAAAAGCAUAAUCUUUACUACACAUAGGCCUAAGCCAAGAAAAGAACGAAUGAAAAUACUCAAAGCAACAGUUUUAUGAGCAAAUGCAGAUAUUGUUUUAAUUACACUACACGUACAAACUUUCUAUUAAUGGUUCUUCGACAUCGGCGUAUUUUCCUUUUUUCAGGCGUUUAAUACUCUGUGACGUAUUCGCAGCUUGAGAAAGAUUGUUCAGCUUGUUUAAUAUUGUACUUAAUGUGGAUGUUGCAAUUCCCAGUUCCUUUGAUAUUAACACGUUCGGGACAGUGGGGUUGGAGUCUACCUUUUUAAUAAUGUCCAGUUUAUCUCGCACAGAUAAUGCCUUACGUUUUUUAACGCGUUUUUCACCCUUUUUUAUGUACGUAUUUCUUAUUGAAGCACAUUUGCAGCUUAAUAACACAAAAUUCUUUUUACCGUCAAAAGUAAAUAAACGAAAAUUAACGAGUCUGGCGCAUCAAAGAUCACUACGUAUCAUUUAGUAUCGCAGUUGCUAAAGCUGGAACGAAAAUUUCUUACUUUCUAUGGAAAAAUUUAGUCCACAGAGUUCUAUCUAGUGGUAGUCUUACGAACCUUACUCGAUCAAAAUGUCCGAAACGUGAACGAUAAAAAUGAGACGUAAAAAUAUUGAAUUUGCUGCUAUAAUGUACAUACGUAUUUGUGUGGCGGUAAUUUAUGUUUAAUUUUGAUAAAAUAUUAAAUGUACACGCGUUCGCCCAUUCUUUAACUAUGCAGGGAAAAUUAUUUAUUUUCACCAAACUGAGCACCAUUUCUGGCUACACGUAGCCUACCGAGGCCACUCGAUUACAACUUGUUUAUAAUAUGAACAGUGGACAAUCGAGUAGCAUAUUGCGGAGAAAAAAGUUAAUGUAAUCCAGAAUAGACGUUUUGUGAAAAUACUUGUAAUUAUAUGAAAAUAUUUGAGAUAAAUGUGCAUUAUGUCGGCAAAAUUUGUUCGUGGUACACGGGAAAUAGUAUCAACAUUGACAAAAAAUGUGCGCUAUAUCCAAUAAAUUAAUACAUAACCUCACAUCAUUUUGCCGGGACCGAGACGGAAAUUCACAAUAAACGGGAAUUCAUUAUAGGCGGGUUCACUAUAAACGGGUUCUACUGUAUUAAUUCAUUUCAGUGUAUUUAAUACUACACAAGUGUUGUUGCCAUUGUGCGCACAGAGAAAUAAAAAUUCACGUAAAAGAAAAAAGUGUUAGAUAGAAUCCAUGACUGCACUAUUUCAAAUCAUGUCGUAAUUCAUUCGGGUAUUUACUUUAAAACCGCACAGAUGGAACAGUGUUACUUUCAUUAUUGAGAAUGUUGUAAAUAGAGAUGUCACACUACGUAUUGAAAUAAGAUCCGUUACCUUUUAUGAGAGCAGCCUCCACAUUGUCAGACUUAAUGUGAUGAAUCCCUGGGAACAAGAAUAUCUGCUGACCACAAGUAACAUGGUUGAGGGCUUCCUGCAGGGAUGGUAGCAUCCUGGAAAUAAAAACACACACAUACAUUAGGAGCACGUAAUUAAGAACACUAAUGGUCUGUCUUGAUGCCAAAAAUUCUUUACUGUCUACAGUUAUCAAUCGUAGAAAAAAUAUUAAAUUAAAUACUGAUUGUGGGUCCUGAUUAUUUGGUACCUCUCAUUCUAAUAAUGCAAGAACUGAAACUAGGAAGAACCAAAUUUCAGAACUAUUUAAGUAAUUUUAAGCACCAUAUCUAAUUGAAGAUUAGACAAUCUGAAACUAAAAUUAGAUACAAUCCGGCUUCACAUAACACAUCUCUGGAUAAAACAUUACUAUUUUAGGUGAUAACCUCAGGCAUCCCCAAAUAAGUUAUACAUCAAUUAUGGACUCAAUUUCCACUGUAUUUCAAAAGUGUAGUGGUAACAAUAUUUCCAUGCUUCAGUGUUUUUAAAUAUACAAUUUCUUAAAUAAUUGUUUACACAUACUUACAGUAUUUAAAUACAUAAAUAUGGUUUGCUAGUACAUAAAUUACGUAGGUGUUGUGCUGUUGACUUGAGUAGUAUGAUGUUUUGUUAUUGUGUGCACGAGGGCGGGAGAGCUGGUGUAAUGGCGGAGGUUCAGUACCAGGCAGGUUGUGGUUACCUUGUCUGAUAUUUCUGAAUAUAACAGUAAGCAUUAUUAAAACCAUGUUCAACUACACUUAACACACUUAAGGUAGUGAGAAACUAAGUGCAUUCACAUAAACUCCAUCAAAAUUGGUAAAACAACCAACCCAUAACUCUACAUUUUAAGAGGCCGUGUCAGUAAAUGUUUAUUUCCAAUAUUCUGCUCUAGAAGUUCUCUCUUUUAACAGUGAGAUUUAGUGGCUUUUUCAACCGAAGGAACUGUAGCCGCAGCGCGUGAUAAAGCUACUAUAUAUACCCUUAUCACAGGAUUAGUGGGAAGGUUGACAGCUCGAGUUUACUCGACGAAAAAUGUAUCUGGUUCCUCGACAAUCUGAGAGGAUGACAAUCUGACCGGCGGCUCACUAGGAAAUUGCGGAUGCAGGGAUUCAGAAUCAAGAAACCUCACUUAUACAACUAUGGUGCAGCUCCACCAGGGCCUGCACCCGGCCGUGGUCCUGGUCCGCCUCCUCCUCCGCCGCCCCGUCCUCCCCCAGGGACUCCUCCAGGGACCGGAUCCUGCGGUGGACGUCCUUGCCUUCCUGCAGCAGCGCCCGCACGUACACCGCCGUGGAGCGCAGCCCGUCCGCCACCAGGUCGUAGUACCUGCGGCCAGGGCUCCCCGCUCUUACCGUCGCCGAGAUCACCGUCGUCUACGUCCACUGACGAUUGAAGGGGUAAUUGUUAAAAAAGAAAAAGAAAUUUUUUAUCUUGGUUGAAUAGCCACGUUGUCGUUGCCCAUUGUGUUACAUAUUUUUGUAUAGAUGUCUAUGACUGUUGUGUAUUCUUGCUGUGCAAUCGUUUGUUACUUUAAUAUAAAACAUAUUAAAGUAGAUUUUCUCAGUUUUAUUCACUAAGAAACCCUAACUUUAAUAGUAGGUGGAUGAAGGUGUUAUGUUACAUUGAAAAAAUUGCACCAAGUCCAGGGAUGAAGGUGUUAAGAUGCAUUCCAUGUAAUGGUAAACACUCCCUUCCCUCUAACUUCAAAAAUAACAUAGUUACGAGUUGAUGAAGGUGCUAUGUACACAUAAGCAAGCAGCAAACAAAUUAUUUUCGGAGCCUUUUUCUCAAAACAAUAGCUUUGUAACAUAACACCUUCAUCCACUUGCCCCUUCAAUUGUUUUUGAAAAUAAUUGACUUUUUUCAGAUUUUCCGAAAAAAGUAACCAAAUACAGCCUCCAAUAUUCUCACAGCUAACCUGGUAUUAUAUAUCCAAAAAAACUAAAAUUCAAACACCAUUUUAAAGCAUGUAUAACUGAACGACACCAUCUGUAAAAAAAAAAAAUUUGUUUACAGUCUGUGUGAUGGCAGACUGGAAUAUGAAAUUUUCCCUUCUGGCGAACUGCCAUGGCUUUUCUACAAUUUCAAAUUAAUUCCCUGAUCAAUUCCCACUUCCCUGAUUUUGCCAAAAAUUUUUUUGAAUACGCCACAGUCUGCACAUUCUGGCCUUCAGUUAAGCAUGUUCUAUAACCCGCGUUCUAUAACCUCCCUGGGUUUAAGAUUUUUCCCCGUAGAUUACAGUGUACUAGCGGUCACAUGUCAUCUUUGAACAAAUGUGUACUCACAGUGCACAGCCACAGAACAGCUUAUUACAACUUGUUUUUUAACAUCAUUGUACUGCAAAUUAAUUUUCUUUCUGUAUAUCGAUGUUCAAUAAUCCGGCUCGCAAGGUACAGACUGUGCCGGAAUAAAAAGCUCUUACUGUACUUAUCAAAAACAUUUCAACAAAUUGACGUCGUCCGGGCCUGCGGCCCCUUUGGGCCCGAUAUGCCACCGCCCAAACACCACCAUCUGUUCAAACCUCCCGCUCGUGUGUGCGUGUGUUGCUAGCCCGGCAAGAGGGCGCUUAGAUGCAGUGCGCCGCACCCCUAAUAUACAUUAAUAAAUAUUGUAAUCCUUUUUCUUUUUGCCCCGAAAUAGUGUCACGACGGCUAUGUAUGUGUCUUUUAUUUAACUAAUUCAUGAUGUUUUGUUAUUUAAUAAGUGCAAGCACGAACAAGGACGCUCCCUAGCGGGCAACGGAGGAACUAGCAUGCAACUCAUUUAAACCAUUUUUAUUCAUAUAAGUAAUUAUUACAGACGGUCUGGACAUUGAAGUAAUUUACUCAUUUUUGUAAACAGAUUUAUGUAUUUUUUAAUAGUAACCCGGGGCACGCCACAGCUAAGUUGUAACGGUAAUUGUGUUCGGCGCGAAGGGGCGCCAUGUUGCCUCCCGCAAGCCAUGAGCUCAUCCCAGUCUCUUUCUCCAGCUGGCCGAGGGCGGACGUGUCUGUACCUUGAGGCGACCACGUGCGUGGUCCGCCUCCUCAGCUAAUCUGAUUCGUGCCUCGGGCGUUUAUAGCUGUAUCAACGGAGGAUCGUGUAAAGACGUGUACCGUGAGUAAAAUAAAAACCAAUUAACUGAG